rnacentral:rRNA from 1 species
GACAGAGGGGGCAAGCGUUGCUCGGAAUUACUGGGCGUAAAGGGCGCGUAGGCGGGAUGGCAAGUCGGUCGUGAAAUCCCUCGGCUUAACCGGGGAACUGCGUCCGAUACUGGAUGGCUUGAGUUUGGGAGAGGGAUGCGGAAUUCCAGGUGUAGCGGUGAAAUGCGUAGAUAUCUGGAGGAACACCGGUGGCGAAGGCGGCAUCCUGGACCAACACUGACACUGAGGAGCGAAAGCCAGGGGAGCAAACGGG